ACAGCCGAACAGAGCAGGCGGACUAAAACUUUGUUAUCGAGGGCAGAGCAAAACCGGAAGGUUUACUGAGCUGUGGCUUCACGUAAACGCUGAGCAUCCACUCGACGGCGGUCAGGUUUUUAUAUGGAACGAAUCCAAAUACCAGGUCAGCGAUUCCAGAACCCAGAGUGUUCCAGUGUUCACUGGAUGGCGAGUCAACCCAAGAUCCUAGGAGACGAUAUACAUACACACGCACACUCAAUUGCACAUUGAUGGACUACAAUCCUCUACUGUACAAGUAGUGCGGUAGGACAGACAAUCACACACACACACUCCUCAUUGGACGAACUCUAAUGCAAUACACCCGUUUGUCAUGGGCCCCACCGGUACCAUUUGGACUGAAAAAGACUAAUUCUUUUACUUGUGCACAAUUUUAUUUUAUACUUGAAGUUCUGUUAAAACCUGUUGUAAUUCAGUGUUGGUUACAAAAUUUUUUAAACGGCUUAACACCACUAAAGUACUUUUAAGCCACACAACUGUGUUUGUCUGGUUUCUCUACCAUUCAUGUACCAGAGCUCUAAGAGUCGUUCUUAAUCUUCUGAUACUAGCCCAAAUUACUCAUUACCUUGGUAAUCAUCCAUUGGUACUGUAUAUAACUCCACGUAAGUGCUACAAGAGUCCUAAAACUAUAGUAGUAAUCAAUGUAAGCAUAUGUUCUGUUCCCACAUCCCACAUCACUACAAAUGGAAAUGUGGUAUUUUCCAUUAGAGCUAUGGAACUUUCCACUUAUGCAUUAUAUUGAUGGACUAAUAUGUUAACAUUCAAUUCAUUAAAUGUAUUUAGCACCAGUUCACAAUGCCAGUGAUCCCAAGGACCUUUAUAUUUUAAGGCACAGACUCUGCACAGAGACAAGUCUAAUGAUGAGACAUCAUCUUAUUAGGACAUUUUGCAAAGGAGGAAAUGUACCACUGAACAAGGGGAGUUGCAGAAUGAAGUACUGUGAAUAGUUUGUGCUCAGAUGAGAUGAUAACAAAAAAAGAGCAGCAGCAAGAUAAGAAUCAUAAAGCAGAAGAGAGUAUAGAGUAUAAAUAAGGGAUGCUUCAGGGCACAGUGAUUUUAGGUUAAAACUUUUAAGCAAACUAGAAAAAGAAGUAUGUUUACACUAUACAAGUAAAUUAUAAGAUACAAAAUUAACACAUCACAUAAAAGUCAUCUUCAUUUCCUACAUAAAAUUACAUGCACAAUGUAUACAGAUGUUACAGAUCAUUUGAGCUGUCAUUGUGAUGUCAUUAAUACAUCAAACACCUCUAUACAAAACUUGUUGCGUUUAACUGAACAUUUUGUGUUUCACAGAAAAAUAAUUUUUCUGGAGGCUACAACUUUUGAACUAAUUAAGAAAAAAAAUUAACAGAGAAAAACAGGCUCUAACAUCAGGACAAACAGCCACAAUAAAAUCACAGCUUCUUUCCCCAUUAAAACUCUAGAAAUUUAAAUUUACUAUAAAAGCAAAGCCAACCACUAAACCCCCCCCCCCCCCCAUUUAAAAAAAAAAAAGAUAAAUAAUAUAAUUAGCCCCUUUUUCCAGGGGUGGAAUAUAUAAUUAGCUAUUUGGUUUCAACAUGAAGAUAUUGUGCCACAAGUAAAAGCUGUAAAUACAGCUGUCACAAACAGGUAUUAACAGUGUUUAUCUUAAAGCUAAAUAACACAUUAGACAUAAAUUAUUACACAGAUAUACCUGGAUCACAUAUUACUAUUUUGUCAAUAUUUCAUAUAGAAGC